GUUUCCUGCUGUCUUCAGCCAUUUUCAAAACCUUGUUCUAUAAUACUUUGUGCUGGGCAAGAGGGAUCUAAGGUGAAGAAGAAAGACUGCCUUCUUAGCCCGGCGCGGGGGCUCACGCCUGUACUCGCAACACUUUGGGAGGCCGACGUGGGUGGAUCAUGAGGUCAGGAGUUUGAGAUCAGCCUGGCCAAUAUGGUGAAACCCCGUCUCUACUAAAAAUAUAAAAAUUGGCCGGGCGCGGUGGCUCACGCCUGUAAUCCCAGCACUUUGGGAGGCCGAGGUGGGUGGAUCACCUGAGGUCAAGAGUUCGAGACCAGCCUGGACAACAUGGGAAGAAGGAGAAAGGGCCAACCCCUGAAGAAGCAAUACAGAAACUGAAGGAGACAGAGAAGAUACUGAUCAAGAAACAGGAAUUUUUGGAGCAGAAGAUUCAACAGGAGCUACAAACAGCCAAGAAGUAUGGGACCAAGAAUAAGAGAGCUGCCCUACAGGCUUUGCGGAGGAAGAAAAGAUUCGAACAGCAGCUGGCACAAACUGACGGGACAUUAUCCACCCUGGAGUUU
rnacentral:lncRNA from 1 species